CAGCCCUCGAGCCCCCGGCUCGGUGUUGGGGCACUGCGGAACGCCUCCCUGAGGACCCGCAGGCCCCGAAAUGUAGUGGCGGUCCCGCCGCGGCGUCCCCUGCGUAGUAGUGUCUAUUUUUAAACAGUCUCGCAUCGGUCCCCGGCAGCGACCAGCCGUCAAACCCCCCCUUCUUUUACAGAUG
rnacentral:misc_RNA from 1 species